AAAUUGAAGAGUUUGAUCAUGGCUCAGAUUGAACGCUGGCGGCAGGCCUAACACAUGCAAGUCGAGCGGUAGCACAGAGAGCUUGCUCUCGGGUGACGAGCGGCGGACGGGUGAGUAAUGUCUGGGAAACUGCCUGAUGGAGGGGGAUAACUACUGGAAACGGUAGCUAAUACCGCAUAACGUCGCAAGACCAAAGUGGGGGACCUUCGGGCCUCAUGCCAUCAGAUGUGCCCAGAUGGGAUUAGCUAGUAGGUGGGGUAAUGGCUCACCUAGGCGACGAUCCCUAGCUGGUCUGAGAGGAUGACCAGCCACACUGGAACUGAGACACGGUCCAGACUCCUACGGGAGGCAGCAGUGGGGAAUAUUGCACAAUGGGCGCAAGCCUGAUGCAGCCAUGCCGCGUGUGUGAAGAAGGCCUUCGGGUUGUAAAGCACUUUCAGCGGGGAGGAAGGCGGUGAGGUUAAUAACCUCAUCGAUUGACGUUACCCGCAGAAGAAGCACCGGCUAACUCCGUGCCAGCAGCCGCGGUAAUACGGAGGGUGCAAGCGUUAAUCGGAAUUACUGGGCGUAAAGCGCACGCAGGCGGUCUGUCAAGUCGGAUGUGAAAUCCCCGGGCUCAACCUGGGAACUGCAUUCGAAACUGGCAGGCUAGAGUCUUGUAGAGGGGGGUAGAAUUCCAGGUGUAGCGGUGAAAUGCGUAGAGAUCUGGAGGAAUACCGGUGGCGAAGGCGGCCCCCUGGACAAAGACUGACGCUCAGGUGCGAAAGCGUGGGGAGCAAACAGGAUUAGAUACCCUGGUAGUCCACGCCGUAAACGAUGUCGAUUUGGAGGUUGUGCCCUUGAGGCGUGGCUUCCGGAGCUAACGCGUUAAAUCGACCGCCUGGGGAGUACGGCCGCAAGGUUAAAACUCAAAUGAAUUGACGGGGGCCCGCACAAGCGGUGGAGCAUGUGGUUUAAUUCGAUGCAACGCGAAGAACCUUACCUGGUCUUGACAUCCACAGAACUUUCCAGAGAUGGAUUGGUGCCUUCGGGAACUGUGAGACAGGUGCUGCAUGGCUGUCGUCAGCUCGUGUUGUGAAAUGUUGGGUUAAGUCCCGCAACGAGCGCAACCCUUAUCCUUUGUUGCCAGCGGU
rnacentral:rRNA from 1 species